CGUGGGUAACCUGCCCAAGAGAUCGGGAUAACACCUGGAAACAGAUGCUAAUACCGGAUAACAACAGAUGAUGCCUAUCAACUGUUUAAAAGAUGGUUCUGCUAUCACCUCUUGGAUGGACCUGCGGUGCAUUAGCUAGUUGGUAGGGUAACGGCCUACCAAGGCGAUGAUGCAUAGCCGAGUUGAGAGACUGAUCGGCCACAUUGGGACUGAGACACGGCCCAAACUCCUACGGGAGGCAGCAGGG
rnacentral:rRNA from 1 species